GACAGAGGUGCCAAGCGUUAGGCGGAAUCACUGGGCUUAAAGCGUGUGUAGGCGGAUCGUUAAGUACCUUGUGAAAUCCCACGGCUCAACCGUGGAACUGCUGGGUAUACUGGCGAUCUUGAGCCACCUAGGGGCGAGCGGAACAAGCGGUGGAGCGGUGAAAUGCGUAGAUAUCGCUUGGAACGCCAACGGUGAAAACAGCUCGCUGGGGGUGUGCUGACGCUGAGACACGAAAGCCAGGGGAGCAAACAGG
rnacentral:rRNA from 1 species